GAUGAAGAACGCAGCGAAAUGCGAUACGUAGUGUGAAUUGCAGAAUUCAGUGAAUCAUCGAAUCUUUGAACGCACAUUGCGCCCGCCAGUAUUCUGGCGGGCAUGCCUGUUCGAGCGUCAUUUCAACCCUCAAGCCCUCGGGUUUGGUGUUGGGGAUCGGCGAGCCUUUCUGGCAAGCCGGCCCCGAAAUCUAGUGGCGGUCUCGCUGCAGCCUCCAUUGCGUAGUAGUAAAACCCUCGCAACUGGAACGCGGCGCGGCCAAGCCGUUAAACCCCCAACUUCUGAAUGUUGACCUCGGAUCAGGUAGGAAUACCCGCUGAACUUAAGCAUAUCAAUAAGCGGAGGA
rnacentral:misc_RNA from 1 species